rnacentral:rRNA from 1 species
CCUACGGGAGGCAGCAGUGAGGAAUAUUGGUCAAUGGCCGGAAGGCUGAACCAGCCAUGCCGCGUGAAGGUCAGUGCCCUAUGGGCGUUAAACUUCUUUUGUGCGGGAGCAAUAAUGGUCACGUGUGGCCAGACGAGAGUACCGUACGAAUAAGCAUCGGCUAACUCCGUGUCAGCAGCCGCGGUAGUCCGGGGGAUGCAAGCGUUAUCCGGAUUUAUUGGGUUUAAAGGGUGCGUAGGCUGUGAGGUAAGUCAGCGGGGAAAUGCCCCCGCUCAACGGGGUGAAGUGCCAUUGAUACUGGCUUGCUGGAAUGCGGAAGCCGUAGGAGGAAUGUGUGGUGUAGCGGUGAAAUGCAUAGAUAUCGCACAGAACACCGAUUGCGAAGGCAUCUCGCGAAUCCGCGAUUGACGCUGAUGCACGAAAGCGUGGGUAUCAAACAGGAUUAGAUACCCGGGUAGUC